CAGCCGCCGCGGUAAUACCGGCGGCCCGAGUGGCGGCCACUAUUAUUGGGCCUAAAGCGUCCGUAGCCGGGCUGGUAAGUCCCCCGGGAAAUCUGGCGGCUUAACCGUCAGAAUUCCGGGGGAUACUGCCAGCCUAGGGACCGGGAGAGGCCGGGGGUAUUCCCGGAGUAGGGGUGAAAUCCUAUAAUCCCGGGAGGACCACCUGUGGCGAAGGCGCUCGGCUGGAACGCGUCCGACGGUGAGGGACGAAGGCCAGGGGAGCAAACCGGAUUAGAUACCCGGGUAGUCCUGGCUGUAAACGAUGCGGACUUUGUGUCGGACAAGCUAUGAGCUUGUCCGGUGCCGGAGGGAAACCGUUAAGUCCGCCGCCUGGGGAGUACGGCCGCAAGGCUGAAACUUAAAGGAAUUGGCGGG
rnacentral:rRNA from 1 species